CACGUAGGGCGCAAGCGUUGUCCGGAAUUAUUGGGCGUAAAGCGCACGUAGGCGGCUUUCUAAGUCAGGGGUGAAAUCCUGGAGCUCAACUCCAGAACUGCCUUUGAUACUGGAGAGCUUGAGUCCGGGAGAGGUGAGUGGAACUCCGAGUGUAGAGGUGAAAUUCGUAGAUAUUCGGAAGAACACCAGUGGCGAAGGCGGCUCACUGGCCCCGGUACUGACGCUGAGUGUGCGAAAGCGUGGGGAGCGAACAGG
rnacentral:rRNA from 1 species